UACCGGAUAAAAGCUACUUUCGCAUGAAAGAAGUUUAAAAGGCGGCGUAAAGCUGUCGCUAAAGGGAUGGGACCUGCGAUGCAUUAGCUAGUUGGUAAGGUAACGGCUUACCAAGGCGAUGAUGCAUAGCCGAGUUGAGAGACUGAUCGGCCACAUUGGGGACUGAGACACGGCCCAAAAACUCCUACGGGGAGGCAGCAGUAGGGAAUCUUCCACAAUGGACGAAAGUCUGAUGGAGCAACGCCGCGUGAGUGAAGAAGGUUUUCGGAUCGUAAAAGCUCUGUUGUUGGUGAAGAAGGAUAGAGGUAGUAACUGGCCUUUAUUUGACGGUAAUCAACCAGAAAGUCACGGCCAACUACGUGCCAGCAGCCGCGGUAAU
rnacentral:rRNA from 1 species